rnacentral:lncRNA from 1 species
GCUAUUGUCCGUUUAGAGAUGCAAUUAGGUCAAUUAGCUAUGGCUGUAGGUAAAAGGGAAAAAGAUAAACUAUCGAGUCCACCUGACGCUAAUCCUAGGAUCUAGAACAAUCAAGGACCAAAACAAAGAGUCCAGAUCAACCAAUUAAAUAUAAUUCACAUCUUAAAGUCUGAAAAAUAAGUAGACAAUCAUGUCGGUACACCUGA